GCUCCCUUAGCUCAAUUGGCAGAGCAACUGACUCUUAAUCAGUAGGUUCAUGGUUCGAGUCCAUGAGGGAGCAC
rnacentral:tRNA from 1 species